CUACUGCAGAAGCAUGGGGGGUGGAGGUAGGGGGUCUUUUAACUUGAUCACAUCUCAGGAGGAUCAUAAACACUGCAGGCUUUAAUACUGUCAUGUCUUAGGCUACUCCUCUAGCCUGUUUAACAUGGCUUAAAAUAAUUUCUUACUUCCUUGCUUUCUUCCACUGUUUCGGUCCAGUUUACAGUUCCACACCCUGACUUUUGCUCACACUGACAUUCAAACUAUAAUGUGAAUUCUUGCUGUUCUAUUUGCUUACCUUACUGAGCUUUUAGUCAGUCACAGUUCACAUCAAUCUUUCACCGUGUUACACGUGAUACAGUAUGGUCAGCCCUAGAAGAAGACAACCACAGUUAUUUUUCUUUUGAUGAGAGUUUUACAUCCAAAUGUUUUCCUGCAGGCUCGGGCCAAUAGAGACUGCAACACUCUCCUGAUCCUCUGGAGAGAUCAUCUGGCACUGCAUUGCAAGAGAUGAGCUCCUGUUUCUUAUGUCUGCGUAUACACUUGAUGAUCACCAUGGAGAGGAUCACCAUAGCCAGCAUCCCUCCUAUAGAAGCUCCGACUGCCACUGCGAUGGUCGAGUCUCUGGGAGGAGGCACUGCACACAGAACACUGAGUAAGUUCAUCAGGCUGAAGAUCACUAUGAACACAUCACUGGCAUUGUUCAAAACACGACAGAGCGUGUGGAGAGCUUUCACCAUCCCGAAGCAGUUACAAACAAUCAUCCCAGAAACCGCAGAGUGCAAACUCCUCUGUCCUGUGGAUGAAACCCUGCAGUACUGACACUGGAGACUCCUUCCAUAAAGGUUAUGUCUUAUUCUCCUGCCUUGAGCCCAAGGCUCCGGAUCCACUGACCAGGAUAAAGUGGUUACUGAAAAAUAGCUAAGCCCCUCCCUAUAGAAAGUGACCUUUCCUUUAAGGAGAAGUGUGCACCUGUCCACUCACAACAGAUCAAACACCAGGACUCAGAGCAUUACAGUGAAACUUCACCUGAAGACCUGGAGAUGUUACUGGAGCAGCACUCAGGAGAUCAGAUGGAUCGGUCAUGACUACAGAUAUUACAGAAGCGUUAUGAACACCAGAUAUUCUGUGCUUUAUCCAACACUGUACAAACAGCUGUAAAGUUUACAGUAAUUUACCGGCAACCCAGAAUGUAAACAACUGUAAAUGUGUUUUACAGUAAAGUACUGAAAUGUCUUACGCAGUAUAAAAUAACACAUAAUCCAGCACUUUUGCUCAUUUGGCAAAUACUUAAAAAAAUAAAAUAAAAUGCAACUUACACUUGAUGCAUGAUGCAGGAGAGCUGAAGGUUAAGAGACUUGCUCAAGGACUCAACCACAGCAGUUUGAAGGUGCUGGGACUUGAACAAAUGACCUGCUGAUCUGUAACACAACGCUUUAACCACUGAGCCACCAAACUAACUGCACAAACUUCACUUCCACCACUGAAUUCACUCCACUGAAGACUGCACUGAAUCAGUGUGGUGACUCUAUUCAUGCGACGGAGGAGGAGAAACAUUUAUCUUAAGAGAAAAAUAAAUAAAUUGGACAACUUUUAAGAUUUGGAUUUGUGGAUUUGUAAGUAGUUUGUUAUUUAAUAAAACGAUAUUAAAUGUUUUGGAACAUGA